rnacentral:rRNA from 1 species
CCUACGGGAGGCAGCAGUGAGGAAUAUUGGUCAAUGGACGGAAGUCUGAACCAGCCAUGCCGCGUGCAGGAAGACUGCUCUAUGAGUUGUAAACUGCUUUUGUACAAGGGUAAACCUGAAUACGUGUAUUCAGCUGAAAGUACUGUACGAAUAAGGAUCGGCUAACUCCGUGCCAGCAGCCGCGGUAAUACGGAGGAUCCAAGCGUUAUCCGGAUUUAUUGGGUUUAAGGGGUGCGUAGGCGGAAUAUCAAGUCAGCGGUAAAAAUUUGGGGCUCAACCCCGUCGUGCCGUUGAUACUGAUGUUCUUUAGUGGGCGAGAAGUAUGCGGAAUGCGUGGUGUAGCGGUGAAAUGCAUAGAUAUCACGCAGAACUCCGAUUGCGAAGGCAGCAUACCGGCGCCCAACUGACGCUGAAGCACGAAAGCGUGGGUAUCGAACAGGAUUAGAUACCCGGGUAGUC